GUUUAAGUCAGUUGUGAAAGUUUGCGGCUCAACCGUAAAAUUGCAGUUGAUACUGGAUAUCUUGAGUGCAGUUGAGGCAGGCGGAAUUCGUGGUGUAGCGGUGAAAUGCUUAGAUAUCACGAAGAACUCCGAUUGCGAAGGCAGCCUGCUAAGCUGCAACUGACAUUGAGGCUCGAAAGUGUGGGUAUCAAACAGGAUUAGAUACCCUGGUAGUCCACACGGUAAACGAUGAAUACUCGCUGUUUGCGAUAUACUGCAAGCGGCCAAGCGAAAGCGUUAAGUAUUCCACCUGGGGAGUACGCCGGCAACGGUGAAACUCAAAGGAAUUGACGGGGGCCCGCACAAGCGGAGGAACAUGUGGUUUAAUUCGAUGAUACGCGAGGAACCUUACCCGGGCUUAAAUUGCAGAUGAAUUACGGUGAAAGCCGUAAGCCGCAAGGCAUCUGUGAAGGUGCUGCAUGGUUGUCGUCAGCUCGUGCCGUGAGGUGUCGGCUUAAGUGCCAUAACGAGCGCAACCCUUGUUGUCAGUUACUAACAGGUUCCGCUGAGGACUCUGACAAGACUGCCAUCGUAAGAUGUGAGGAAGGUGGGGAUGACGUCAAAUCAGCACGGCCCUUACGUCCGGGGCUACACACGUGUUACAAUGGGGGAUACAGAGGGCCGCUACCACGCGAGUGGAUGCCAAUCCCCAAAACCUCUCUCAGUUCGGACUGGAGUCUGCAACCCGACUCCACGAAGCUGGAUUCGCUAGUAAUCGCGCAUCAGCCACGGCGCGGUGAAUACGUUCCCGGGCCUUGUACACACCGCCCGUCAAGCCAUGGGAGCCGGGGGUACCUGAAGUGCGUAACCGCGAGGAGCGCCCUAGGGUAAAACUGGUGACUGGGGCU
rnacentral:rRNA from 1 species